UGGACGGUGUUAUUCCACACUAUUC
rnacentral:piRNA from 1 species